rnacentral:lncRNA from 1 species
GCUGCCUUCUUCCCUGGAGACGUCCUAGUCGAAGUCCUCGACGCUUUAGCAGGUCUCUCCUUCGCCUUAGGCUUCGCAGCAACCGCCUUGGUCUUCGAAACAGCAGCUACACUCUUCGUCUUAGGUUUGGGCUUCGCAGCGGCUUUAGUUGUUGCUGUUGUCUUUGCCUUAGGCUUAGCAGCAGCAGCAGGUUUCUUGGCUCCUUUAGCAGCCGGUUUGGCCUUAGCAGGAGCUUUACCCUUCGGUUUAGUAACAGCAGCAGCUGGUUUCUUGUUAACCGGUUUAGUCGUAGCCGCC